UACGAGGGGUGCAAGCGUUAUUCGGAAUCAUUGGGCGUAAAGAGCUCGUAGGCGGUUCAGCAAGUCGGCUGUGAAAGCCCGAGGCUCAACCUCGGAAUUGCAGUCGAUACUGCUGUGACUCGAGUCCGGGAGAGGAGAAUGGAAUUCCCGGUGUAGCGGUGAAAUGCGCAGAUAUCGGGAGGAACACCAGUAGCGAAGGCGGUUCUCUGGGCCGGCACUGACGCUGAGGAGCGAAAGCGUGGGCAGCAAACAGG
rnacentral:misc_RNA from 1 species